rnacentral:rRNA from 1 species
UAACUUUCAGCAAUGGAUCUCUUGGCUCUCGCAUCGAUGAAGAACGCAGCGAAUUGCGAUAAGUAAUGUGAAUUGCAGAUUUUCCGCGAAUCAUCGAAUCUUUGAACGCACCUUGCGCUCCUUGGUAUUCCGAGGAGCAUGUCUGUUUGAGUGUCAU